rnacentral:rRNA from 1 species
AAUAGAUACCCUGGUAGUCCACGCCGUAAACGAUGAGUGCUAAGUGUUAGAGGGUUUCCGCCCUUUAGUGCUGCAGCUAACGCAUUAAGCACUCCGCCUGGGGAGUACGGCCGCAAGGCUGAAACUCAAAGGAAUUGACGGGGGCCCGCACAAGCGGUGGAGCAUGUGGUUUAAUUCGAAGCAACGCGAAGAACCUUACCAGGUCUUGACAUCCUCUGCCAACCCUAGAGAUAGGGCGUUCCCCUUCGGGGGACAGAGUGACAGGUGGUGCAUGGUUGUCGUCAGCUCGUGUCGUGAGAUGUUGGGUUAAGUCCCGCAACGAGCGCAACCCUUGAUCUUAGUUGCCAGCAUUCAGUUGGGCACUCUAAGGUGACUGCCGGUGACAAACCGGAGGAAGGUGGGGAUGACGUCAAAUCAUCAUGCCCCUUAUGACCUGGGGCUACACACGUGCUACAAUGGAUGGUACAAAGAGCUGCGAACCCGCGAGGGUAAGCGAAUCUCAUAAAGCCAUUCUCAGUUCGGGAUUGUAGG